AGACAGCAGCCGCCGCGGUAAUACGUAGGGACCAAGCGUUGUCCGGAAUCAUUGGGCGUAAAGCGCGCGUAGGUGGCCAUUUAAGUCCGCUGUGAAAGUCAAAGGCUCAACCUUUGAAAGCCGGUGGAUACUGGAUGGCUAGAGUACGGAAGAGGCGAGUGGAAUUCCUGGUGUAGCGGUGGAAUGCGCAGAUAUCAGGAGAAACACCAGUGGCGAAGGCGGCUCACUGGACUGGUAUUGACGCUGAGGUGCGAAAGCGUGGGGAGCAAACAGGAUUAGAUACCCCUGUAGUCCCUGUUUCUUAUAC
rnacentral:rRNA from 1 species